rnacentral:rRNA from 1 species
AUCANUAGCGGNGGAAAGAACAACAAGGAUUCCUUAGUAACUGCGAGUGAAGUGGGAUGAGCUCAAAUUUAAAAUCUGGUAGUCUCUGGCUGCCCGAGUUGUAAUCUAGAGAAGUGUUUUCUGUGCUGGACUGUGUUUAAGUUUCCUGGAUAUGGAACAUCAUAGAGGGUGAGAAUCCCGUCUUUGACACAGACUGCCAGUACUCUGUGAUGCACUCUCGACGAGUCGAGUUGUUUGGGAUUGCAGCUCAAAAUGGGAGGUAAAUUCCUUCUAAAGCUAAAUAUUGGCGAGAGACCGAUAGCGAACAAGUACCGUGAGGGAAAGAUGAAAAGCACUUUGGAAAGAGAGUUAAACAGUACGUGAAAUUGUUAAAAGGGAAACAAUUGAAGUCAGUUGCAUCUACUUGGACUCAGCCUUACUUUGGUUUGGUGCAUUUCCUUGUGGAUGGGCCAGUGUUCCAUGUUGAUUACUGGAAAAGGGGCUAGGGAAUGUGGCUCUUUUGGGAGUGUUAUAGCCUUGGCUCAUAUACAGUGAUUGAUAUGGAGUGGUACAGCAUGCUUCGGUGGUGCUUGUGCUGCAUAAUGCUNUAA